GCAAUGGUGGUCCAGUGGUAGAAUUCUCGCCUUCCAUGUGGGGGACCUGUGUUUGAUUCCCAGCCAAGGCA
rnacentral:tRNA from 1 species